UCCGGUUUGUCACCGGCGGUCCCCUUAGAGUUCCCAACUUAAUGCUGGCAACUAAGGGCAAGGGUUGCGCUCGUUGCGGGACUUAACCCAACAUCUCACGACACGAGCUGACGACAGCCAUGCACCACCUGUGAUGGUGUCCCGAAGGAAGGGUGUGUUUCCACGCCGGUCACUUACAUGUCAAGCCCAGGUAAGGUUCUUCGCGUUGCGUCGAAUUAAACCACAUGCUCCACCGCUUGUGCAGGCCCCCGUCAAUUCCUUUGAGUUUUAGCCUUGCGGCCGUACUCCCCAGGCGGGGCACUUAAUGCGUUAGCUUCGGCACGGAAGGAGUCGACACCUCCCACACCUAGUGCCCAUCGUUUGCGGCGUGGACUAC
rnacentral:misc_RNA from 1 species